AAAUGAUAAAGGUAAACUACUCGAAAGAGUAGGGCGCAAAGCCGUGAACCUUCAUCCCAAAAUAAGGGGAAUAUGGUUGUCUGGCUGCCGUU
rnacentral:ncRNA from 1 species